GUGGGGAAUAUUGGACAAUGGGGGGAACCCUGAUCCAGCCAUGCCGCGUGUGUGAAGAAGGCCUUUUGGUUGUAAAGCACUUUAAGCGAGGAGGAGGCUACCGAGAUUAAUACUCUUGGAUAGUGGACGUUACUCGCAGAAUAAGCACCGGCUAACUCUGUGCCAGCAGCCGCGGUAAUACAGAGGGUGCAAGCGUUAAUCGGAUUUACUGGGCGUAAAGCGCGCGUAGGUGGCCAAUUAAGUCAAAUGUGAAAUCCCCGUGCUUAACUUGGGAAUUGCAUUCGAUACUGGUUGGCUAGAGUAUGGGAGAGGAUGGUAGAAUUCCAGGUGUAGCGGUGAAAUGCGUAGAGAUCUGGAGGAAUACCGAUGGCGAAGGCAGCCAUCUGGACCAGCACUGACACUGAGGCACGAAAGCGUGGGGAGCAAACAGGAUUAGAAACCCCGGUAGUCC
rnacentral:rRNA from 1 species